rnacentral:rRNA from 1 species
GUCUACGGCCAUGCCACCCUGAACGUGCCUGAUCCCAUCUGAUCUCGGAAGCUAAGCAGGGUCGGGCCUGGUUAGGACUUGGAUGGGAGACCACCUAGGAAGACCAGGUGCCGUAGGCG